GAAAGUACAAAAGGGCGUACGGUGGAUGCCUAGGCUCUUACAGGCGAUGAAGGACGUGAUAAGCUGCGAUAAGCUGUGGGAAGGUGCAAAUGACCUUUGAUCCGCAGAUUUCCGAAUGGGACAACCCGGCAGGUUGAAGACCUGUCAUCCCGCUAAGCGGGAGGCUAACGAGGGGAACUGAAACAUCUUAGUACCCUCAGGAAAAGAAAAUAACAAUGAUUCCCCCAGUAGUGGCGAGCGAACGGGGAAGAGCCCAAACCGUGGAGGUCUCGGCCUUCACGGGGUUGUAGGACCACGACGUUGGACUUGGUUCGAUUAGAGGAACGUUUUGGAAAGAACGACCAUAGAGAGUGACAGUCUCGUACUCGACAAUCGAAUCGGCCAUAGUGGUAUCCUGAGUAGGGCGGGACACGUGAAAUCCUGUCUGAAUCCGGCGGGCCCAUCCGCCAAGGCUAAAUACUCGUAAGAGACCGAUAGCGAACCAGUACCGUGAGGGAAAGGUGAAAAGCACCUCUGUCAGAGGAGUGAAAAAGUUCCUGAAACCGUACGCCUACAAGCGGUCGGAGCAUCUUUAUGAUGUGACGGCGUGCCUUUUGCAUAAUGAACCUACGAGUUGCCGUCGUCGGCAAGGUUAAGCGCAACGAUGCGCGCAACCGAAGCGAAAGCGAGUCUGAAUAGGGCGCAUAGUCGGCGGUGGCAGACGCGAAACCAAGUGAUCUACCCUUGUCCAGGUUGAAGUCCCGGUAACACGGGAUGGAGGACCGAACCGAUAAGCGUUGAAAAGCUUCCGGAUGAGGUGAGGGUAGGAGUGAAAGGCCAAUCAAACUUGGAGAUAGCUCGUACUCCCCGAAAUGCAUUUAGGUGCAGCCUCGGGCGUUCCCUGUGUGAGGUAGAGCGACUGAUUGGAUGCGAGGGCUUCACCGCCUAUCAAGUCCAGACAAACUCCGAAUGCACACAGGCUAAGCCCGGGAGUGAGGGCGUGGGUGCUAAGGUCCACGCCCGAGAGGAGAAGAAUCCUGAUCACCGGCUAAGGCCCCGAAAUCCGGGCUAAGUUAAACUAACGAAGUGUGGUCCCCGUGACAGCUAGGAUGUUGGCUUGGAAGCAGCCAUUCAUUCAAAGAGUGCGUAACAGCUCACUAGUCGAGGGACUGUGCAUGGAUAAUAAUCGGGUAUGAAGCCCGGUGCCGAAGCCGUGGGAUGUCUUAAUGACAUCGGUAGGGGAGCAUUCAUGCGGCCUUGAAGCCCAAGGGACGACCUUGGGUGGAGCUUCAUGAAAAGCAAAUGUAGGUAUAAGUAACGAUAAAGAGUGUGAGAUGCACUCUCGCCGAAAGACUAAGGUUUCCGGGGCAACGUUAAUCGUCCCCGGGUCAGUCGGGACCUAAGGCUCAUCCUAAUGGAGAGGCCGAUGGCAGAAACGGUUAAUAUUCCGUUACUAUCCUUUGGGGCGAUGUGGAGACGGAGGAGUGAAACUUCCGCGGGCUGACGGAAUAGCCCGUUAAAGAUCGUAGGCGUCGACGAGGGCAGGCAAAUCCACCCUCCGAGCUGAAAGUCGACAGUAUGCAGCGUCUUCGGACAAUGCAAUAGCGAAGGUAAGCAUACUCCCGAGAAAAUCCGCUAAGCUUAACCCAUUGGAUACCCGUACCGCAAACGGACACACGUAGUCGGGUAGAAUAUACUAAGGCGCUUGGAAGAUUCAUGGUUAAGGAACUAGGCAAAUUGACCCCGUACGUUCGCAAUAAGGGGUCCUCGUCGCAAGGCGAGGCGCAGAGAAUAGGUCCAGGCAACUGUUUAACAAAAACACAGGGCUGUGCAAAAUCGAAAGAUGAAGUAUACAGUCUGACACCUGCCCGGUGCCGGAAGGUUAAGAGGAGAGCUCAGAGGCAACUCGAAGGUUUGAAUUGAAGCCCCGGUAAACGGCGGCCGUAACUAUAACGGUCCUAAGGUAGCGAAAUUCCUUGUCGGGU
rnacentral:rRNA from 1 species